rnacentral:rRNA from 1 species
GACUCUCGACAACGGAUAUCUCGGCUCUCGCAUCGAUAAAAAACGUAGUGAAAUGCGAUACUUGGUGUGAAUUGCAGAAUCCCGUGAACCAUCGAGUCUUUGAACGCAAGUUGCGCCCGAAGCCAUCCGGCCGAGGGCACGUCUGCCUGGGCGUCU